CCUACGGGAGGCAGCAGUGGGGAAUAUUGCUCAAUGGGGGAAACCCUGAAGCAGCAACGCCGCGUGGAGGAUGAAGGUUUUCGGAUUGUAAACCUCUUUUGUUAGAGAAGAUAAUGACGGUACCUAACGAAUAAGCACCGUCUAACUCCGUGCCAGCAGCCGCGGUAAUACGGCGGGUGCAAGCGUUACUCGGAAUUACUGGGCGUAAAGAGCGCGUAGGCGGGAUAGCAAGUCAGAUGUGAAAUGCUAUGGCUUAACCAUAGAACUGCUGUGGAAACUGUGAUUCUAGAGUAUGGGAGAGGUAGGCGGAAUUCUUGGUGUAGGGGUAAAAUGCGUAGAGAUCAAGAGGAAUACUCAUUGCGAAGGCGACCUGCUAGAACAUAACUGACGCUGAUGCGCGAAAGCGUGGGGAGCAAACAGGAUUAGAUACCCGAGUAGUC
rnacentral:rRNA from 1 species